rfam:Nicotiana attenuata strain TT chromosome 7, whole genome shotgun sequence.
AUACUUACUUGGGCGGGGUCAAUGGGUGAUUAGAAAGGCCCAUGUCCUAGGCUGGUGACCUCCAUUGCACUUUGGAGGGGUGUCCGCCUAAGAACGAUCCAAGUAGUCGAACCUACGUGAUAAUUUGUAGUAGUGAGGAGUUGCCUUCGUGCAGCCCCUAC